rnacentral:snoRNA from 1 species
GCUCUUUCAGGGUCACACCUGGAGAGUUUCCACUACUCUACCAGUCUCAGCUAUGGGAGGGAGAGUCAAGCAGAGGCAUAUCCAUUCCAUUCCUAGCUUGGGCAGUGGCUAGAGAGUGGAAGGCAAUCUGCUACAAGU